UCUUAUGGAUGAGUGAAUAAAGUGGUCUCCUGAGGUGGAAUCCACUUUUGUUGAAGAUGCUGUGAA
rnacentral:pre_miRNA from 1 species